GUGUCUUGGGAGGGGGGGAAUGGGCUCCUUUGCUUUGAAGAUGGUCCUUCAACUAAUGAAUUAUGACCCCCAAUAAAAUGGCCAGAGUGGUUGUAAAAAUAGCUGGAAAGGCUUCUUUUAUUGCCUCUGAGCUGGAGCAUAGAGCUUAAGAAAUGCUAAGCUUUUCAGUUUGAAUGAGCAGAGCAUAUUUAGCUUUUCUUUUAGAACACAAGAAGAUACUACUUUUGACUCUUCAUCUGCAUUUGAAAGGAGUUUGUAGGUAGUAACUGAGGGAAGACAUGGAGAUGGAUGAUACAAU